rnacentral:lncRNA from 1 species
AUAGAAAAAAAUAGAACAACGAACUUUACAUACUUUUAAUUAUCCUGCUUUGCAUUAUGAAGGGAAUAAAGAUAUUUAUGCAAUGACAGUUUGAGCGGCUACGCCAAGAGAUGUCCACAGUCAACCCAUGAAGACGCCCUGUUUGCUAUGAUCCAGCUAAUUUUUACAAUGAGGACGCAGUAAAGAUUUUGAUGGUAUAAUUCAUUUAGAGUGUUUUGCGGCCGUCGGGGACCUAGCCUUUGAAUGUUACUUAUGCAACUUAAGCCUCGACAAAUUGCGGGAGUACAUGCGCCAGCUGGAGAAGGACGGCUCAUUUGACACCUACGUGCGAGCAGACAGGCCUGCAAUGUUCCAAUCCCCGGUGCAGAAGUCUGGACGGCGACGCCGUGCUGCUGCCACAGAUGCUGCGGCUGCCAGGGAAGACCGGCAAGGCGCGGCCAUGUUACCUGCCAGCCAGGGUGCUGCGCCAGUGCCCCAGGGUGUCGGUGGGGCCUUGGUGGGUGCAGCUGGGAUGCCGAUGUCGUCCGGCACUGCAGCUGUGAUGUCCCCAGUCAGCUUGGGAGGCAGGCAAGGCGCAGCCAUGUUACCUGCCAGCCAGGGUGUCGGUGGGGCCUUGGUGGGUGCAGCUGGGAUGCCGAUGUCGUCCGGCACUGCAGCUGUGAUGUCCCCAGUCAGCUUGGGAGGCAGGCAAGGCGCAGCCAUGUUACCUGCCAGCCAGGGCAGCCACAUGGCAGGUGUGGCGAUGGCUGGGACUGCUCACCUAUCAGUUGGUCAAUUCCUGCAGCUUUUGGUACGCGGGAAUGCUGGUGGUGAUGGUCAACUUCUGGCGGCCAUAGCUGCCCAGCCCCCGGGCCCUCAGUUCACAGCCACGGGGGCGCCCCUGCGGACAAGUACGGUCCCCCUGGUGGAGGAUAGAGGUCUACCUAAGAAACCCAACAAUGCCUUCACCGAGUUCUGCCGUGAAAUGAGGGCAGUUCCAGGACAGCAGGGGCUGCAGCUGGCGGCACUCUCGCGGCUUUGGGCCAGCUUGCCAGACAAUGAGCGGAAGAAGUACUUCGAUGCAUACGAGGUGGCAAAGAGAGUAUACGAUGCACAAGUGCCCCCGCCACCCAGCAAGAAGCGGAAGAAGGGGGAUGGGGGGGGCCCUAAGGGCGGCUGAUUACAACCUUGCAGGGGGGCCUUGUUUACUAAAUUAUUGUUGGCAUUGAGCAAGAAGAAGAAGAAGAAGAAGAAUCUUGCAUUAAAUAGAUGUGUUUCGCAUGUCGCUUGAAAUCAACGUGUGUUUUCUGAACACAGGGCGGCUGAUUACAACCUUGCAGGGGGGCCUUGUUGACUAAAUUGUUGUUGGCAUUAAGCAAGCAAAGAAGAAGAAGAAGAAGAACCUUGCAUGAAAUAGAUGUGUUUCGCAUGUCGCUUGAAUUCAACGUAUGUUUUCUGAACACAGACAUUCUUAUUCAACUUAUGUAAGACCGUUUCUGACACCUAUCCGUAUUUCGGUCCCGCCGGGGCUUCACGCGCCGAUUCGCCGCAGCCCAUGCAUGCAUAUAAUCAUAACGCAGCUGUAGGUACGCGCGGCGCAUGGGGGAAAGCAGGGGCAGGCGAGAUUCCGGGGAUACGGAC